UACGUAGGUGGCAAGCGUUGUCCGGAUUUACUGGGCGUAAAGAGCGCGCAGGCGGUCGUUCAAGUCGCGUGUGAAAGCCCCCGGCUCAACUGGGGAGGGUCACUUGAUACUGAUCGACUGGAAGGCAGGAGAGGGAAGCGGAAUUCCCGGUGUAGUGGUGAAAUGCGUAGAUAUCGGGAGGAACACCAGUGGCGAAGGCGGCUUCCUGGCCUGUUCUUGACGCUGAGGCGCGAAAGCUAGGGGAGCAAACGGG
rnacentral:rRNA from 1 species